CCCUGGAGAGAGGGAAGGUUUAAAGGGGUGAGGCCCGGCGCAGUCAGGAGUUGAUGUUGCUGUCCUGAGUCUAAAUUCCACCAGGCAGGCCAGGUGCAGUGGCUCAUGCCUGUAAUCCCAGCGCUUUGGGCAGCAGAGGCAGGAGGAUCACUUGUGGCCAGGAGUUCAAAACCAGCCUGGGCAACAUGGUGUCCUCACCGGCCUUCCGGGUUCCAGCACCAGGCCUGGUGCCUGCCCCAGGAGGAUGAGCAUUUGCAGUGCCUUCCACCUGCUGAAGCAGCUGUGCCUGCCGCUCUUGUGAACUGCGAACUUCCCCUUACCACCUCUCUCUGGCUCGGGAGCUGGCUCGGCCCCAGGAGGCUCCCGGGAGCGCCUGUCAGUACAAUGCCGCCCCAUGCGGUGCUCACCUUCCGGCGCCUGGGCUGCGCCUUGGCCUCCUGCCGGCUGGCGCCUGCGAGACACAGAGGAAGUGGUCUUCUGCACACAGCCCCAGCGGCCUGCUCGGACAGGAGCGCCCCGGUGUUCACCCGUGCCCUGGCCUUUGGGGACAGGAUCGCCCUGGUUGACCGGCACGGCCGCCACACGUACAGGGAGCUUUAUUCCCGCAGCCUUCGCCUGUCCCAGGAGAUCUGCAGGCUCUGCGGGUGUGUCGGCGGGGACCUCCGGGAGGAGAGGGUCUCCUUCCUUUGCGCCAACGACGCCUCCUACGUCGUGGCCCAGUGGGCCUCAUGGAUGAGCGGCGGUGUGGCAGUCCCCCUCUACAGGAAGCAUCCCGCGGCCCAGCUGGAGUAUGUCAUCUGCGACUCCCAGAGCUCUGUGGUCCUUGCCAGCCAGGAGUACCUGGAGCUCCUGAGCCCGGUGGUCAGGAAGCUGGGGCUCCCGCUGCUGCCGCUCACACCAGCCAUCUACACUGGAGCAGUAGAGGAACCCGCAGAGGUCCCGGUCCCAGAGCAGGGAUGGAGGAACAAGGGCGCCAUGAUCAUCUACACCAGUGGGACCACGGGGAGGCCCAAGGGCGUGCUGAGCACGCACCAAAACAUCAGGGCUGUGGUGACCGGGCUGGUCCACAAGUGGGCAUGGACCAAAGACGACGUGAUCCUCCACGUGCUCCCACUGCACCACGUCCAUGGUGUGGUCAACGCGCUGCUCUGUCCUCUCUGGGUGGGAGCCACCUGUGUGAUGAUGCCUGAGUUCAGCCCUCAGCAGGUUUGGGAAAAGUUCUUAAGUUCUGAAACGCCGCGGAUCAAUGUCUUUAUGGCAGUGCCUACAAUAUACACCAAGCUGAUGGAGUACUACGACAGGCAUUUUACCCAGCCGCACGCCCAGGAUUUCUUGCGUGCAGUUUGUGAAGAAAAAAUUAGGCUGAUGGUCUCAGGCUCAGCUGCCCUGCCCCUCCCAGUGCUGGAGAAGUGGAAGAACAUCACGGGCCACACCCUGCUGGAGCGGUAUGGCAUGACCGAGAUCGGCAUGGCUCUGUCCGGGCCCCUGACCACCGCCGCGCGCCUGCCAGGUUCCGUGGGGACCCCACUGCCUGGAGUACAGGUGCGCAUUGUCUCAGAAAACCCACAGAGGGAAGGCUGCUCCUACACCAUCCACGCAGAGGGAGACGAGAGGGGGACCAAGGUGACCCCAGGGCUUGAAGAAAAGGAGGGGGAGCUGCUGGUGAGGGGACCCUCCGUGUUUCGAGAAUACUGGAAUAAACCAGAAGAAACUAAGAGUGCAUUCACCCUGGAUGGCUGGUUUAAGACAGGGUCUCCUCUGUCCCCAGACCCCUGAGCCCAGGUUGAGGAGCCACCAGCUGAGGACGGAGCCAAGGUCACGGAGCUGCCGGGGGACACCGUGGUGUUUAAGGAUGGCCAGUACUGGAUCCGAGGCCGGACCUCAGUGGACAUCAUCAAGACUGGAGGCUACAAGGUCAGCGCCCUGGAGGUGGAGUGGCACCUGCUGGCCCACCCCAGUAUCACAGAUGUGGCUGUGAUUGGAGUUCCGGAUAUGACAUGGGGCCAGCGGGUCACUGCUGUGGUGACCCUCCGAGAAGGACACUCACUGUCCCACAGGGAGCUCAAAGAGUGGGCCAGAGAUGUCCUGGCCCCGUACGCGGUGCCCUCGGAGCUGGUGCUGGUGGAGGAGAUCCCGCGGAACCAGAUGGGCAAGAUUGACAAGAAGGCGCUCAUCAGGCACUUCCACCCCUCAUGACCCGGCAGACUGGGACUGCAGUUCUGGUGGGGAGCAGCAGACGUCCCCUUCACACCGAGAACCGCGGGGGCCCAUCCAAGACCUGGCCUCCCUUAAACCUGAACCCCCCAAAUCAGGUCACGUAGAAUCAAGAACUGUUUGGGAUGAAAUCACCAUGUGGUGUCCCCAGCCUCGGGCCAGUUGUUGCAGCUCAAGGAGACCGUCCCUGGUGUCACCUCUGUGUGGUCACCGCCGACCUCAUCUGUGCAGCGCAGUGCAGCCAGCCCCUGGCCCCACGUGCUGAGGCACCUCCCACCCCAUAGUGCCCUGCAGUUGCCAGGCUCUCCAGGGCAGGUCCCGGAGGUGUCCCGCAAAAAACAAAGACUCCACUGGAGGAAACAAGCCCCUGUCCCACGCUGUCUGCACGUGCCUGUGCCUCACCCAGAGCCAGUGUCUCCCGGCCCACUUAGGAGGUCUGGGCAGCCACCCAGGGGGCCCUCCUGGGAGGAGCUGAGGGUUCACAAGCCUCCCAGAACCAGCCCUGUCCCAUGGGUUCCGGGCAUUUCCUGGUGCCGCUCUUGGAGGAGAGCAGCUCCCGCUGUGGGGACACCUGCCACCCUGCACACUACUGUGUGUCCAUCAGCAUGUGUCACAGAAGGUGCGUGGACGGACAGCCCCGGAGCUGCUCUGCCGUGACCCUGCCUCACCCCCCAGCACAGGGACCUUCCAGGUCAUCUCCACACCAGCCCCUCAGCCGGUGAACCCUCUCUCCCAUCACCGUCUCCACCCAGACCCCCACCUGCCCCAUGGCCCCCAUGUCAUGUCUGUGGCUCACCAGCUUUUCCCCAGACCCAGCUCCGGAGCCCACAGGCGUGGCCGAUGCAGAAACCUCAGGAAGGUGUGUUGUGAAUGUUGGGUGCACCUACGUUGCAUUUACUUAGCGGGGCCAAUUCAGAUGCACAGGGGCCACAUGCAGAAUCCAGAAGUUUCUGGACAAUUUUCAGAAGAAUAGGCUGCCUCCUCCCUACAGCCUGGGGGAAGUAACAGUCAUCGCCCAGCAGUGUCUGGCCUGAACUUACCCAGAACAUUCUGCCCCCGGAAUGCACGUCUGAAAGAGUGGCCAGAAACGAGUGUGCCGGGCAGGAGGCCAGCCCCAUCUCAGGCUCACGUGCCUCUGGCAGGAGACCAGCCCCAUCUCAGGCUCACAUGCCUCGCGGACACUUGGACGUGGCCUGGGGCCCCUGCUCACUUAAGCAUGUCGCCCACCAAGCUUGUCUGAGGCCACAGAGCAGCGUCCCAGCCCUGUUUUCCAGGACGGGUGGGUGCCCCAGUCCACGGCCCUGCCCCACCCGAACUCCUGCCUCACGGUGUGGCCUUCUGCAUCCCCAUGGCCUGACCCCGGGAACAGUCAGAGGAAGGGGUCCCGCCCUCCCGCCAGAGGCCUGGACCCAAGGGAACGGCAGUCAGAGACUACAGUCCAGACGUUUGUGUCUAGGCCUUGCUAGUAGCUAAGGAAAUGCCUUCUGUUGGGAAAAGGUCAAAUUUAACAUAGCAAAAUUUUUACUUAAUUCCACUAAUUUUACAUUUGCAUCUCUCUCCUUUAAUCCUGAAACUUUUGAUUCCUAAAAAGCUUACAUAAUCAUUUGCUUUAUCCGAUAGUAUACAUCAGUAUAUCAUGCUUUCAAAA